rnacentral:lncRNA from 1 species
UUUUGUUUUUUUUUUUUUUGUUUGCUUCUAUUUAUGUUUCAUUUGAAAGAAAGAAAAUCUUGUGUUUAUAAAAAUCUUGUGUUUAAAAGGUCAAUAUAAAUAUAAAGUAAUAAUUUUUGGUUUUUUGGUGGAUCAGUCAAUAAGUUUUAGGUCCGGCAUCUUAAAAAAUUUGAAAUCUCCUUUCAAAAUGUUGUUAAUUUGAUUUUUCAUACACAAAAUAUGUUCUAAAGUACCAGAUAAUUUUCAUUCCAACACAAUUAAAAUUUAUCAUUUUACCUCGUAAAGUUUUACCAUACUUGACAAUUUUAAGGUAUGCUUAUGCUGGCUCUUAGCAAAUACUUGCUAUAGUCUUUAAUAAAAUUUUCUUUUAUAGCUGAGUUGUGGUUAAAAAUAAUUGCUAUUGAGCUUAUAGUUUAGUAGAUGAAAAAAUAAUUAAUAUCAAAAUCAAUCUUACUUUAAUUUCAAUUUGGUUAGUUUCUUGUCAAUGUAGUUCAAUGGGUUGGUCUCAUUCUUUUAGAAUAAAGAAACAAAAUGUUAUGGUUUAAAAUGAUACGCUUAGUGUGGAGCGGCGUGCGGUAUACUUAAAAAAAAAAAAGUGCAAAUACUUAUAUAUUAAACAAAUUAUAAUGUUGACUAUUGCGAUGACUUUUCAAACAUACAAGCAAUGUGAAAAUUAUUUUUACGUGUUGAUUACAAUUUAAGCAAUCAAACCCUACUUUGCAAAAACGAUUACAAGGAAUCCAUAUUAUUUGUAAGAAAUUUAAAUAAAGAAGAAGUUUAAGCAAUUAGUCAAUUACAUUUUCAUUAAUUUCUUUACUUUUAAAUCAUGAUUAUCUUUUAUCUUUAAAAUUACUAUAACAUAAGUUUAAUUUAAUUAUUUUACCUCAUAAAAUAUAAUGGUUAAAUUCCUCAAAAAGAACAUGUGCUAUUAUUUCAUAAUAAUUUAGAUGUUACCUAAAUAAUCAGAGGCGAAGCUAUUGGUAUCUCUAGGGCGGCCCAAGACACCGCCAGCUCAAAAAAGGGCAAAAAAAAAAAAAGUUCUAGGAAUGAUUAAGAUGGUUUAAAAAUUUGCCCAUUUGUGUAAAUUUUACAUUUGGCCUCCCAUUGUUUAGACAAUUUUGUUUAGGCCAUUCAAUUUACUAUUUGUCUAUUAUAACCCCCAUUGUUGGCUCUUCAAUUUUAUAACUUUUGUGUUAUAACCUAGUCAAGUUCGUUUGUUUUCAUUUUGAUCCCUAUAAAACUAAAAUCCUUAAUCCGCCGCUAUAUAAUCUAAUGUUUUUAAAUGCCCAUCUGUCAAAAUUUUGAAAUCCUGAUAUAUUUCAUAAGAUAUGACAUUUCAAGGAGAUUUUCUUAAUUUAAUCGAAAAUUUAUAAUUAUACUGAUAAUUAGUGUGAAUAAAUCAUUUACAAUUAAAAAUUUAAAUUUUGUUAAAAACUUUAUUUUUUUAAAUAAUUUUGUGGGUAUUUUCAUACUUUUACCUUAAAUAAUUAAUUUUUCUUAAUGUUCUUCCAAUCUUAAUAUCAAAUGUCGUAAAUAGUCCUAAAUUAAAAAAAAUAAAUUAGAUAAUCAUGAUUUAGCUAAUUGAUUGUGUAAAUUUCUUCUAAAUGUGAAUUUUUUUAAAUAAUACAGUUUUUAUAAUUAAUUCUUUUAAGUGGGGCGCAUUUCUAUUAAUAGACUAAGUGGUGUAAUUGAUACAACUCAUCAUUUUUAUGAAGAAAAAAAACUUAUGUAAAACUGUUUUAUCACGUGACCGUAUAGAUAUAAUAAGUAUCAUCCAGCAAACCUUUGACGCAUAAACCUAUCACUUUAAAUUAAAAAACUAUCUCUCUCUUUCAUGUAGUAAAGAUUGGUUGGAUGAUCUUAGCACGGUGAAUCAUAUGGUAGGCUUAUCCUAUAUAAUUUUUUCUUAUUUAUCGAGGACAUAUCUACCGGCAUGGGUAAAUAGACAAUUGACCCUAUAACUUUUUUAAAAUUUUAUUUUUGAUUUUUUUAAAAAAAUACACCAAAUAAAAUAUUAAAUAUUAAAACAAGUUAUAUAAUUUCUGCUCAAAAUUAUUUCUUCCUUUUAGUGAUAUAUAAUAAAUCGUAUAAAAAGUGAGUUAUCUUGUUGUCCCUUAUAGUCAAUUUUCUUAACUCCACCCCUAAGUUCAUAGCUCUUUUUCACUGAUCUAAGCUUCAUCAUCAAACCCAACUUUAUACCCCUACACAAACAACAGAAUAUGAUCUAAAUCUCGAUCCUAGAUCCCUUAGUUUGCUUAUGGUAGGUUAGAUAAUCAUCACGCGUUUUCAAAAUUUCAUGUAACUUCUGAAUUAUGUUGAGUUUGUCAAAACCUGAGGGGAGGCAUGUGAAAUUACUCUGUAUUUAAUUUUAAACAAACAAGCAGUUUGUACAUUUUACGGCAGCUUAUUUUAUUUUUUCUUCCCAAAACCUCAAGAUGACGUGGCAAUGGAAAUUACUCGACUAUGCGAUUGAAAAUUCAACUAGAAACGAAGAGAUUUUCUUCUCUCUUGUCUCUCGGACGCCAAUUGACCCGAAAAAUCAACGAGAAUGGAGACAUCGGCGGCGUCAGGUGGCCCCGGCGGACUAGGAGGAGGGCCGGCGCCGUUUCUUAUAAAGACUUACGACAUGGUUGACGAUUCAUCAACGGACGAGAUCGUGUCUUGGAGCGACAACAAAAACAGUUUUGUUGUUUGGAACCCACCUGAAUUCGCUCGUCUUCUGCUUCCAACUUAUUUCAAGCAUAACAAUUUCUCUAGCUUCAUUCGACAGCUCAAUACCUAUGUGAGUUCAUUUUCAAUUUAUUUAUUUUUUUCAGUUUCAAUAUCAGUCUCAAUUUUUUUAUUUAAUUCAGUCUCAAUUUUUUUAUUUAAUUUUGAUUUAUUUUUUUCAGUUUCAAUAUCAGUCUCAAUUUUUUUAUUUAAUUUUGUUUUUUUUUUUUUGGUUUCGUUAUGAUUCUAUCAUAUUACUUAUAUCAAGCUAUUUGAUAAUUUCAUAACUCUGUGCAUAAAUUGCUGCAAUUGUUAUGAAUUUACAUGGGGAAAAAAAAAGUUGGUCAACGCUUUAAAAGGCUCUUAAAUUAUAAUUUGCAAUCGGAAAUAAUUGUUUAUUUGGUAGCUAAAUGUGUGAUCUGGUAGGUGCAAAUUAUUAUCAACAAGUCAUUUCUAUGGAACCAUGAUAAUGCAGUAUGAGUUUGUGAAAAUUUGCUUGGAGCUGCUAAGGUUGGGGUGUGUGGUGGUGACUGCUAAGACAUCGUGUCAUAUGUAGUUCUAACAGAAUUUGUCCGUUCAUACUCUUCUUUAUUUUCACUUGGUGUAUUUGUGUCCUUUCUCGAAGUUGUAUUCCUUUUGGUUAUGUGCUAAGUUUUCAGAUCUUCAAUGAUGAAGAUGGGGUGUUCUAGGUUCCACCUUAGUUUUUGUGUAAAAGGAACAUUUCUUAUAAGACCUUGCUGAUGAAAAAGUUACAAUAAGUUUGUUUUGUACUAUGAAAUGUGAUAAUUUGUUUCAGUUACAUUGGAUGAUAGAUAUGUAUAUUCCCAUAAGCAUGCACACCACGCAACAGGUCCUAACUUUAAUGUAGAUUCCUUUAAUUGGGAAAUAACUGUAUUGCAAUGUACAUUGUAUGGACAGCUGUAACUUUGAACUGGCUCUUUUCUCUUUUUUUUUUUUUUUUGGGUUCAAUUAGAUGAUAGUUUCAAAAAUUUGAAGUUAAGUCCUUAGAUCUUAGUGCAGCAUACAUAGUCUGGCAAUCAGUUAUGGUUUCUGUAGCUGAAGUCUGAUAAAAAUUACAAAUAAUUAAUUUUAUGACUUGGUUGAUGAGUGGUGGUGACUAGCUCAUUUGGCCUCCUUUAAGCAUGUUGGAGGUCAGCAUCCGACAUAUAUCCAUGUGGCCGUAGAUGUAAAUAAUCUAACACAUGGUUUGCAUAUGUUGUUUGGUCAACUCUAUGCUUAAUAGAAGUCUCGGAAAGUUUGUUUCAUUAAAGUGAUCUCGGAAAAUCUUGUUUUCUUGUGUCACAAAAUUCAAUAGAAGCAUUUUUAUAUAAUUUAAUAAUCUUAUACUGGAUUUAUGAUUGGAAAAAGGUAUGUAAAAGUAAGACCUUUUAAUUUUUUUUUUUUUUUUCCUCUUGUUGAAAGUUAGACAAAAUAAAAUAUACUAUCCUUCUUGUUCGUAUAUGAGCUGGUGCAUGUGAAUUUUCCAUAGUAUAUUAUUCACUACAUACAAGCAAUUUAUUUGCAAUCCAAGUUUUGUUAGGUUACUACUAGGGUACCAUUGCCUUCUAAAAAUAUGGCAACAAAAGGGUUUGCAUUUGAGCUGAAAAAUGACUUCUUAAACUAAUGCUUAUGAUCCCACUAGAAAUACAAAUGUUAAGCUUGUGAUGGCUUCUUUCUUUAUUUCCUUUGCAUAACGAAGCAUUGGUUUGUCAAUAUCAAUAAGUUUGUGGUCCUAUCUCCAAACUUUCCACUUUUAGUUAUUAUACAUAAGCAUUUGUAUGUACCUUUAUGGCUUUACCUGCUGGUAGUGAGCUGUUGCUGCAUUGUGAAAGUUAGUUAUGAUAUUUAGAGAAUACUUUUAUAACAGUAACACUAUGUUGCCAUUAUGUAGAGGCAAUGUACUAUAGCCUGAGUUUACAGAUUAUUGUAACUCUUACAUUGGAAUUUUGGACGUGGUUUCGGUCACGUCUUAGGAACUAUUAGUCUCAAUCAAACCAUAAUAAAGCCUUUCUUGAGAGGCAUUUUUAUCACAUUUAGCUCUGCCUGCUGUUGUGUCCCGUUGUAUGUAUUCUGCACCAGUAACCGUAGCUCACUGUAUAGUUAUUUCAGACUCUGGAGCUGGAUCCAUGUGUAUUCCACACUCAUGCUCAAGAGUCAAGACAUGUAUUGAUGUCUGUGAUCUACAUAAUAUUGAAAACAGUUCUUUCAGGCUAUCCAUUUAUUUUGAUUUCAGAAACUCCUCUAUGACUCCUUGUUUCCACCGGAACAUGACUCCUUAGGUUGGUGAGAAAAAAUAUUGGGAAAAUAUUUCUAAUUCAUAGAAGUUGCAAUCUUUACAUUAUAUACUACUCUGACUAGGCUAUAUAAGGAAGUAAUAGGAAAUUAAGAAAAAUAAACUAUACAAGGAAAGAAUAAAUAUAUGUACACAAAAUUAGGCUACAAUCUCUGACUUUCAACACUCCUCAAGCUGGCUUGAAGAUAUCUAUUGUUCCCAGCUUGGAAUUCAGUGAUUGACAGACUUGUUUUGAUAGUCCCUUGUUGAGAAUAUCAGCUACUUGCUUUUGAGUAGUAACAUAUGGAAUGCAUAUCAGACCUCUCUGCAGCUUCUCUUUGAUAGAAGUGCCUAGCAAUCUCAAUAUGUUUUGUCCUAUCAUGUUGGACUGCAUUAUGAGCAAUGCUAAUGGCAACUUUAUGAUCAGAGUACAGUCAUUUAUCCAGCUUUCCACAUCUUCAACUCAUUAGAAACAUUGUCAGCUGCAUAAGCUCACAAAUCCCCAAUGCCAUUGCUCUAAACUCAGCUUCAGCACUUGAUCUUGGAACCACUGAUUGUUCCUUGCUUCUCCAAGUAACUAGAUUUCCCCCAACAAAUGUACAAUAACCUGAUAUUGACUUUCUAUCAACAAAGGAUCCAGUCCAAUCCGCAUCUGUAUAUGCCUCAAACCUUAGGUGAUUAUUCUUAGAGAAUAAAAUGCCUUUUCCUGGAGAUGCCAUCAAAUAUUUCAGUAUCCUAAACACAGCUUCCACGUGCUAUACAUUUGGGGAAUGCAUAAAUUGACUCACAACGCGUACUGCAAAUGUAAUGUCUGGACGAGUAUGACACAAAUAGAUUAGCUUUCCAACUAAGCUUUGGUACUGUUCCUUAUUAACCAAACUACUUUUAGUACUUACCCCAAGUCUAUGAUUGGAUUCUAUAGGAACAUCGCUAGGUUUGCAUCCUAACAUCCCAGUUUCUUUCAAGAGAUCCAAAAUAUAUUUCCUUAGUGACAAAAAUAUCCCUUUCCGAGACCUGGCCACUUCAAUUCUGAGGAAAUAUUUCAGAGAACCUAGGUCUUUAGUUUCAAACUCUUUGGUUAACAACCUCUUAAGUCUUUCAAUUUCAUCUCUGUCAUUUCCAGUCAAGAUAAUAUCAUCCACAUACACGAUAAGGAUAGCGAGCUUAUCUUCAUAACCAUGCUUGGGAAGCAUGGUAUGAUCACUAUGGCUUUGUAAAUAUCCACAUUUGCGAAUAAAUCUCACAAAUCUGUCAAACUAGGCUCUAGGUGAUUGCUUGAGCCCAUAUAAAGACUUUUUCAGCUUGCAAACUUUGCCUCUUUCAAAAUAUUCUCAAACCCUGGUGGUGGAUUCAUAUACACCUCCUAUUCUGAAUCUCCAUGGAAAAAUGCAUUCUACACAUUUAGCUGCUGUAAUGGCCAUUUUAAAUUUGUAGCAAGUGACAACAGGACCCGAAAAGAGUUAAUUUUUGUAACAGGGGCAAAUGUCUUUCGGUAAUCAAUUCCAUAUGUCUGAGUAUAUUCCUUAGCCACCAGUCCAACCUUGAAUCUCUCAAUUGAUCCGUCAGCCUUAUGCUUAACCAUGAAUACCCAUUUACAACCCACGGUUCUCUUUCCAGAAGGCAAGUCUGCAAGAGCACAAGUUCUAUUUUUAUACAAUGCUCUCAGUUCUUCACAAAUCGCUUCUCUCCACUUUGGAUUUGCAAGAGCAUCCUGUACUGUUCUAGGAGUAGUUACAGAUGACAGAUUAGUAGCAAAAGCUUUAAAUGAUGGUGACAAUCUAUGAUAAGAGACAAACUUAGAAAUAGGAUGUUUAGUGCAAGUUCCAACACUUUUUAUAUGAGCGAUAUGCAAAUCUAAAUCCAAAUGAAAUGAUGGGAGAGAGUUUAAAUGUAAUUUAGACUCAGAUUGAACAAUACCGGUGUCUUCCAACAACUCUAUGUUCGAUUCAGAAUUCUGGCAGUCGGGAGAUGUACAAACUGUUUUAUUUCGUUGAGAAUACACCUUUGGCUUUUGAGCAUCCUCUAGAUUUCGUGUGGUGGAUGGUUGAAUUUGUGAAGGCACUUGCUGGUCAUCACUUGGGUUAGGUUGUUUCUGUGGGGAAGAGCAAUCUUGUUCCUCUUGCUGAUUGUUAUUGGAAGGUGGCAGAUUUUGUGGAGAGCAAACUGUCAAAAGGAGAAGUUGAAUUUGUGAUAUUAUCUCUAAAAGAUGUCUCACCUGAGUAUGUGGAUUUUGGAAAAAACUUGCAAAACUGAUCUUCCAUAUUAUAUUCCUCCCCCUGAAGAUAGGUUUUGGAGAAAUAAGUCUUAGUUUCAAAAAAAAAAAAAAAAACACAUCCGUGGUUACAAAACAUUUCCUAGUUGGAGAAUGAAAACAUUUGUACCCUUUUUGUGUAGGAGAAUAACCUAAAAACACAACUUGAGAGACCUAGGAUCAAGCUUACUUUUGUCAUGAUUCUUAUCAUGAACAAAAGCAACACACCAAACAAUUUAGGAGAAAGAACUAAAGAACCGAGACAUGGGAUAAAGUUGCUGAAGAAGUUUGAUUGGGGUUUUAAACUUCAAAGUACUAGUAGGGAAUCUAUUUAUGAGAUAACAGGCAGUUAAAACCGCUUCACCCCACAAAUAAUUUGGUACCCCUAUAGUAAACAUCAAAGAUCGAGCAACUUCAAGUAACUGUAUAUUUUUUCUUUGUGUGAUUGGGGAGUAUCAACACAAGAGAAUUGAUGAACAAUUCCAUUCUCAGUCAAAUAGUUUCCCGAGAUAGAAGAAAAAAAUUCUUUGCCAUUGUUAGUUUAAAACACUCCUAUUUUUCGCUUGAGAUUGGGUUUGAACCACUUUAUGGAAGAUUUGAAUAGUUUUAGGAACUUCAGAUUUUUCUUUUAAUAAAUACACCCAACAAGCUCGAGUAUGAUCAUUAAUAAAAGUGACAAACCACUUAGCUCCAAAAUUAUUGGCACAGAGAGGACCCCAUACAUCACUAUGUAUAAGAGAGAAACUUUAUAAGUUUGGGCAGGAAAAUGUGUACGAUGAUGCUUGGACAAUUCACACACUUCACAUUUAAAUAAUGUUGGGAACAACAACUUUAAAUAUGAAAAAUUUGGAUUUCCUAAUCUGAUUUGCAACAAACUAGUGUCAUGCUCACUAGGCACUUGAGAAACAAUUUUGUCAACUAAGGAUAGAUUACUCAAAGCUUCAGGCUCCUCUUCCAAAUAAUAAAGUCCAUCCACCUCCUUAGCAUUGCCAAUCUUCUUCCCCGUACAUAGGUCCUGAAAUUCACAAUUGUAAGGAGAAAAUUUAGCCAUACAGUUAAAGUCUUUUGUAAGCUUACUGACAGACAAAAGAUUACAAGACAAAUUAGGGACGUGCAACACUGAUUUUAAGAUCAUUGUUUUAGAAGCUGAAAUUGAAUCUUUUCCUGCAACUGAAGAAAGAGACCCAUCAGUGAUUUUUGCCUUUUCUUUACUAGAAAGAGGCGUGUAAGUAGAGAAUAAGUUGGACAAAGUAAUCGUAUGAUCGGUUGCCUCUCAAUCAAUGAUCCAAGGCCAAGUAGUAGUUGAAGAGAUACUGAAAGCAUUUAAAAAAUUAUCUGAUUGGGCUAGAUCAGAAGAAGAGGUUUUGACUCAUGAACCUGACAAGUUGCUUAAGUUGGCCCUUAGUGAACAGAUUUGAUCCUUGAUUCCAUGAGUUUGCAUUGGCGUUAUCAGUUGCAGCUUGAAAACCCUUUGAAUUUUGUCCAGAAGACUUGUUAUCCUUCCCCCAGUUUUAUGGCCUUCCAUGGAGCUUCCAGCAAAACUCGUUGGUAUUUCUUGGCUUAUGGCGAUAUAUCACACCAAAGUUUAUUCUUGUCAUCUUUCUUCUUGCUCAUAUUCUUUUAUUCACCUACCAAUGCUGAAUCAGUAGCACAUUAAUCAAGGCAGAAUUAUCAGUAUUAGGGCUGGUCAUCAUUACCUUUCAUCUACUUUCUUCCCUUCCGACAUAUGCAUAGACUUCCCUAAUUGCAGGAAGAGGUUCUUUGCUUAGUACUCGUCCCCUAACUUCAUCCAAAUCUGGAUUCAAUCCAUCCAAAAACUCAAACACCCUCUCCUUCUCCUGUAACCUCUUAAAUUUUUUACUGUCAUCUCCACACUUCCAUUCUCCAUCAGAGUACAAAUCCAUUUCUCGCCAUAAGCUAUUCAUGAUAUUGUAAUAUACUGUUACAGUGUCACUUCCUUGUUUGGUUUCAUGAAUACGACACUUAAGUUUAUACAACUGUGUAGUAUUUCCAAUAUCAGUAUAUGUCUCUGUGACUGCAUCCCAUAAAUCUUGUGCUGAUGGUAAGAAAAGAAACGCUGACUAAUGUGAGGGUCCACUACAUUACCAUAGAGUUCUGUUCAUCCCAGAUUUUAUACAAAGGGUCGUCAGCCUUGGUAUGUCUAUUGACCCAUCUAGAGAGCCCACUUUACCUUUUUCCUUCACAUACAACUGUGAGACUUCAUGGACUGUGACCACUGCAGAAAGUUUUGGCCAUUCAAUUUGUGAGUUUAAUCGGCAAUGACGGAUUGUCAACAGAACUAUUGGCCUGAACAUGUUUAACAUUGACACCAGAGCUGGAUUCGCUCACAUCUGACAUUUUAAAUCAGAAUUUUGAAGUCACAGAACAAGAUAAAACCCUAGAGGUAUUGGUGGCUAAAAAAUUUGUUGACAAAAAAGAUGCCCAGGAACCCGAACGUGGGCUCUGAUACCAUGAGAAAAAAUAUUGAGAAAAUAUUUCUAAUUCAUAGAACUUGCAAUCUUUACAUUGUACGCUACUCUCACUAGGCUAUAUAAGGAAGUUAUAGGAAAUUAAGAAAAAUAGACUAUGCAAGGAAAGAAUAAAUAUAUGUACACAAAAUUAGGCUACAAUCUCUGACUUUCAACAGUUGGUUUUAUUUGGUUUCUCCGUAGGUUGGUUUAUUGGAUUUCUUUUACGUUGCUAUGUUGCUCUAUUACAAAUUUGUAUUGUUUACUUCAACUUUACUUGCUGAUUGUGGAUCAUUUGGGCAAUCCAGGAUCAUCUAUGGUAAGUUUUGAUAUUUUAGUAAAAUAUUAAUUAAACUUGGAUGAAUUUAUGUUAGUCCAAUCAGGAGGCAGAUUUAUCAUACUAUUGUUGUAGUCGCAAAUGUGGAUAAAUUGUAGUUUGAGUUUUCAAUUAGGAUAAGUAUGAUUUAACUGUGCCAAUGUGGAUGUUAUUCAAUGACAGGGAUUCCGAAAAAUUGAUCCUGAGAAGUGGGAAUUUUCAAAUGAUGAUUUUGUCAAGGAUAAAAGGCAUCUUCUUAAGAAUAUCCACCGCAGGAAACCUAUUCACAGCCACAGUCACCCUCAGACUCAGGGUUCAUCAGUGGAUCCUGAGAGAGCAACAUUUGAGGAACAAAUGGAGAGGCUUUCACAUGAGAAAUCUGCACUGGAGGCAAAUAUUGUAAGAUUAAAACAGCAGCGGUCAACUGCAAAGCUUCAGUUAGAAGACCUUGCACAGCGAAUUGAUAGUAUGGAUCAGAGGCAGGAGAAUUUGUUGACCUUCUUGCAAAAGGCUGUUCAGAAUCCUACUUUUGUUGAUCAUCUUGCCCGAAAAAUUGAGUCUAUGGAUAUCUCAGCAUACAAUAAGAAACGACGAAAACCACAAGUUGAUCAAUCAAAGCCAAUUGUGGAAAGUAGUCUUUUGGACAACAAUAGCUGUUCUACUUCCAGACCUGAGUCUGGGAAUAUUUUCCACCAAGAUUUCUCAAAUAAGCUCAGGUUAGAAUUAUCACCAGCUGUUUCUGAUAUUAAUUUGGUUUCACAUAGCACACAGAGUUCCACUGAAGAUAGGGGAAGUCCGCAGAAGAAAAUUUCUGAGGUGGAACCAAAAGUUGCACACACAAGAACAGAAGGCAAUUUAUAUGUGCCCGAAACAUUUGAACUUUCAGAUACUGGGACAUCUUUUACAUUUAAAAUGGACUCAACUUUCUCGAGAAAAGUACCAGCAAAUGAUAGCUCGAGAGUUUAUUCGUUGCAGCGGAGAUCGACUUCUAAUGAAGAGGUUGAUGGCCAUGUUUCUUGCCACUUGAAUUUAACUCUGGCAUCUUCUCCUCUGCAAAUCAACAAAGGGCUUCAUUCAUCUAGGAUGCCCCAGCCAAGUAAGGAUAUUGCCAAAACUACAGAAUUGAGGUACAAUUCUAAUGACGAGGAAUCUGAUACUAGACCAUUUCCUAGCAACAGGAAUCUGGGUCAUGAGGAUGCCUCUAUAGUUUCUCCUCAGGAGGCCCCAAACAACAAUCCUGCACCUGCAGCUGCCCCAGUUCGAGUAAAUGACGUAUUUUGGGAACAAUUCCUUACGGAGAGACCAGGUUCUUCAGAUAAUGAAGAGGCAAGUUCAAGUUAUAGGGCAAACCCAUAUGAAGAGCAGGAAGAUAAAAGGUCGGGCCUUGGAAUGUCCAGAAAUGCUAAGAAUAUGGAGCAACUCACACUUUGAUGAUCAAAGUGUUAAAACCCAGCAAAAGGUUUAUAGAAGUUUCUACCUAAUCUUCUCAUGGUUACUAAGAACUUGUUACAUGCCCUUAGUUCCAGGUGGUUGCAAGUAAUAAAUUGGUCAUCAUUACAUAAGUUUUUCAGUUCUGAAUACUGCAAUGGUCAUGUAGCAUGGCUUCAGUGCAUAAGUUGUAUAAAUCUAACACAUUAUAUACAUUUUGCUAACUGUGUAAUUGAUUUGAUUCAUGUUUCUGUGCCGCCCUCUGCUUCUUUUGUUGCAAAGUACACUGGGUUUUUUUGUGGUUUUGAUGUACAUGUCUGGGUUUUUUUGUGGUUUUGAUGUACAUGUCUGUGCCGCCCUCUGCUUCUUUUGUUGCAAAGUACACUGGGUUUUUUUGUGGUUUUGAUGUACAUGUUUUUUUUUUUGGUAAAAGAACUGGUCAUUAAUUAUGUAUUUGCAAGUUUCUAUUUAGAUGAAAAACUUUUUAUUGUUCCUAUAGAAUUCAUCCUCGUUAAUCAUUUUCAGUCGUUAAUUUCGUUACCAAACUAUCACCUAACCACCAUCAAAGAAGUAAUGUAUUAUAUUGGUUGUUUGAUUUAAAGAUUGUUCAUUAAUCAAUAUCUAAUGUUCUUGCGUUGGUUCAAGAUUUUGAACCAUUGAUCUUACAUUAUACUCGUUAUCAAUUGAUAAAGUGUGCAAGCUGACUGAAAAAGAAUGGAUGGGAAUUUGCUUUGACCAUCCCUAAAUUGUGGCAUAAUUACAUGAAGAACGAUGAUCUUUUUGAUAAUUAACUAUGUAAGUAUCUGUGAUAACUCUAGUUGGGCAUGUUAUCACCUCUCUCCUUGUCCGUUAGGGGAAGGAUUCUAGUAUUUCGGUAAUUGUUGUUUGAACAUUACAUACUUAUUGCUUAUUGUUUUUAAGGAAUACUACACUUAUAAAUUAAUUUUUAUAUAAAUUGACGUAGCAUAAUAUCAUUGAUUGAGUGAAAAUAUAAAAGUUAUGUCAUAUUAAUUUGUAUGAAAGUUUGUAGUAGUAUCAGUAAUUAAGAAUUAAGAGUAAUAUGAUAGCUAUAAGUUCUUGUACAAAUUAUUUUUGUACAAAUUAAUGUGGCAUAUCAUUGGUUAAGUGAAAAUAUAAAAUAAUAAGGGUAAUUCAUUUGAGUUAUGUAGUGUUUUUAUUCAACCAACCAUGUUAUGUCACAUUAAUUUGUACAAAAAUAAUUUAUAUAAGAGUUUAUAAGUUUAAUUAUUUUAAAUUUUAAAUUCAAAAAAUAUCUGUGAAUUUUUAUCGGCUCAAAGUGAAAACUUCCGAUUGUGUUUAAAUAAAGGGUUAUAGAGGUACAGCAAGCCGAUUAUGCACUUAUUAUAAUGUUAUUAAAAAUUUAAUGAUGUCCUUACAUCUUUCAACUUACAACCUUCCGAUUGUAUUUAAUCUUUGCUUGAGAAAGAUCUAGCGAAAUUAGAAAUCCCUGUGUAAUAAAUAUAAUUUUGAUGACUCAUAAUUCAUAAGGUGACAGUGAAUGUGUUUAUCCUUGUAAAAUCUGGAAAUUUGUAUAUUGAAACUAGGUUUAAUUUUUAAUUUUGUACACCUAAAGGUUUACUCAUCAUUGUGGGGAUAAUAUUGUUGUAAAUGAGAUUUAUAAGUUACGACUAGCGGUUGAUUUAUUCUCUUAAUACUUGGGAUCUGUACAUUGAAUAUGAGAUUCAAUGUCAUUUUUGAAAAACUUUGGGAUUUAUAAAUUGGAUCGGAUUUGAGUUUUACUGAUGUAAAAUUUUGGGUUCACUUUUACAAUAUUGCUGCAAAUGAGAUACGACGCAUUGAAAUUAGGUUUGAUGUUGUUCUCGUAAAUAUUAAAGAGUUUGUACAUUUGUUUUAGUUUGUACAAACUCUCGUACAAACUUAUUUUAUACAAACUGAUGUGGCAUGAUAAAAUUAAUUGAAUUAAAUAUCACUUAACCCACAUAAUUUAUUUAUAUUAUUUUAUAUUUUCAUUCAACUAAUGAAUUAAUGCCACAUCAGUUUGUACAAGAUAAGUUUAUAUAAGAGUUUGUAAUUGUAUCAUCACUCUAUUAAAUAUAUGAUAUUUUUACCUUCAUUUUUCUUUACUUUUACAAUAAUACCCUUAUAAGAAUAUUCUUAAUGACAAUAAUGAAAAGAAAAAAAAAAGUUGAUUACUCAAACUAACACUAAAUUAAAAUUAAAAUUAAAGUAAAUUUUUAUUAUUAUUUUAUUAUUAUUUUACUUUCUGAGUUAAUUUGGUAACUUAAUUUUUUUUUAAUUGCUAAUUAUUAGCAAAACAGUAGGAUAUUAAACGUAGUUUUCAGUUGACUGGUAUUAAUUUAUUUAUAAAUAAUUAUUAGAAAGAUUUUCACAAGGAUACUUUUAGAUUGGUAAUUAUCAGUCAAUUUAUUAAUUAACUUUUUUAUGAAUAAAUAGAUUAAUGCUUCGUUCCAAGGGUGUUAUUAUAGUACCGACAAAGAAAAAUUAAAGUUGAAAGCGUCCUAUAUUUAACAGUAAUAAUAUUUUAAGAUAUCUUUUAGAAUAUAAAGAUUAAAUAAAAUAAACACUUGAGAAUAAAACUAACAUUUACCCUUUAUUAUAUUAACCUUAUUAUUAUUUAUUUGCAAUUAAUGUUUUUUUUUUUUUCUCUCCAUUCGCUUUCCGCGAUAAUCCUCUCUAUAUAUCCAAACGCUUCAAUUUUCGAUCUCGAACACGACGAAAUAUAUAAAGAUCAACACGACUCACGAGUCUCUUCACCUGAAUUAUGAUUAACGUAGGUUGAAAAAUGUAGAAUUAAAACCUAAAAGUAAUUUGUCAAGCAUGUAGCUCACGCAAUACAUAAUUACGGCUAAAGCUACGUGACAUGAAAGCAAUUAACUUUUGAGUGAAGACUUUAAAACACAAUCAAUCCAAAAUUUUGAUUAUGUCUCUCUUUUACGUAUAGUAUUUGAUUUUUAUCAUCUAAAUUACUUUUAACUUAAUAAUAAUUAAUUAUAAGAAAUUCUUUUGUCGUCUUUGAUCGUGACCCACUUUGACUACGAGGGUUAAGUUCCAAAUAAUUGUAUGGAAAUAUCCCUAUCCAUAUCCUUGCUUCAAUCUUCUUCAUUCAUGAGAACAGCAUCUUCAAAAGCUAAAUAUAUUCAACAUCUCACCCACUUGUACUCCAAAAGAAAAGAGCUCAAUCAAUCAAUAUUGAACUAACAACUAAUAAACCAAAAGGCAGUAAGCAAACUAGCAAGCUAAGCAAAUGCAAAAAUAAAUUUUAUAUAUAUAUAUAUAUAUAUAAAAUAAAGGCAAAGAAGAAUCUUGAUUCUUGAUGUAAUUAAUGACUGUUGUUCAUACAAAUUCUUUUUUUCUAAAUAUAAAUCCAACGGCUAAGAUCUGCACCCAUUCUAGCAGACCCCACACCACAUUAUUACACUUGAUUUCACAGAUUUAAUACACAGUUAUCUGUUGUAUGUAUAUAUCAUCAGCAUCAUAAAAUCUACAUCUAUUAUGCUACACACCAUCAACAGCUUGCAACGAUUGAUCACCACAACAAUAUAAUUUAAUUCACCCAAAAAAUUUAGAAAAAAAAAAAACAGCCAAUAUAAUUUAAUUCACCCAAAAAAUUUAGUCUACAUCUAUUAUGCUACACACCAUCAACAGCUUGCAACGAUUGAUCACCACAACAAUAUAAUUUAAUUCACCCAAAAAAUUUAGAAAAAAAAAAAACAGCCAUAUGAUUGAUUAUCAAGCGGACUCAUCGGGAUGCUGAAUAGUAGAAGUAGUAGUACUAAAACCAUUUUCCUUUUUUACCCUCGGUUGAAUCCCAUAAUAACUAACGUACCAUUUGACGAACUUCCUCAGGCCGGCGGCCAGAUCAGUGGUGGGCUUGUACCCGAAGUCUUUGUAAGCCAAGCUCACGUUGGCAUGCGUAUACGGCACGUCCCCAUUUCUCGGCAUUCUUAUCACAUGCUUUUUGGCCUUAGUGUUCAACAGAUUCUCCAAUAUCGACACCAAUCUCCCCACGGGCACUGGCGACGUGUUUCCGAGAUUGUAAACUCUCAGCUGAGCGGGGCCCCGCUUCUUCCCCCCGCUCCCCGUGCUCUUCCCCGCCGUGUCCAACGCCCCGACACAGCCCUUCACUACGUCAUCUAUGUAUGUGAAGUCACGCGCCACCUCCCUGUCAUCUUGCGUCUUGUACACAUCAAUGGUUUUGCCCUGUAAGAUAUCUUUGGUGAAGAAGAAGUAAGCCAUGUCGGGUCUCCCCCAGGGGCCGUACACGGUGAAGAACCUUAGGCCCGUGAGGGCAAGACCGUAAAUAUGGUUGUAAGUGUGGGCGAUUUCCUCCCCGGCUUUCUUAGUCGCCGCGUACAAACUCGCGGGCUGGUCGGUUCUGUGCGACUCGGAGAAGGGGACCUGGGUGUUGAGGCCGUACACCGAGCUCGAUGAGGCCCACACGAUCGACGGCUGAGGGUUCACCGAUUUGCAAACUUCGAGCAGGUUGACGAAUCCAGCGAUGUUGGAUGCCACGUAAGAUUGCGGAUUCUGCAUGGCGUAGCGAACCCCGGCCUGUGCUGCUAAGUGCAGUACGUGGGUGAAAGGUACAACGUCGAAAAGCUUUGUUAACAGGGGAGCGUCAUUCAGGUCCCCUUCGACGAUGAAGACUUGAUGCUUUUGAAGCAGCUUUUGCCUCGCCCGUUUAAGCGACGGAUCGUAAUAGCUGUUGAAAUUAUCCAACCCCAAAACGCCAUCGCCUCGCUUUUUGAGAGCGAGGGAGCAGUGAGAUCCGACGAAACCGGCAGCUCCGGUGACCAAAACGGUCAUCCCGUUGGGGCGGCGAGGGGUGGCAGAGUGGCGGACCUGCUUCUCCCACUCUGCCCCGCCAGUGGAAAAGGAAGAGGAGAAGAACGAAGAGGAGAGAAGACUGUGCUGAUGAGUGAAUAAAUUACGUGGGUUAUUUUUAUUAUUACUGUUAUUGUCACCACUCUCACCAGUAUUGUCAGAAAGUGGAGGGUGAUUGAGUGUGAAGAAAAGGAUUAGAACAAGUGCAAUCAGAAUUGUGGCACGAAAAAAGAGUUUUGAAGAAGAGUGCAACAUUUUUGUGACAUGUAGCCUCCGGAGGUAACUGUUGUAGCGUUCUAGCUUAAUGGUUUUGCUUGUGUCUGGCGGAGAAGCCAUUAUUGGGAUUUUGUUUGUUGGGUUUAUUGCUUUGUUCUAAACUUUUGUGAGAGAGCCUCUCGCUAACAAGAUUAUAUUAUAAAGUGACAGACGAGUGUGGUGGACCAAAAUGGGUUGGAGACCACUUUCCUUUUCCUCAUUUCCUUUGCUACUUUUAAGGGAAAAUAACAAUUGCCCCCUCGCAGUUUAACAAAAUAACUACAGAGACUUCCUUACUUUUAGAAAUGAUCUGCAAUAAAGUUGAAUCACUGUAAUCUCAAAUAGGAUUGGUAAAAUUUCCCAAAUUCUGAUCAAGAUUCGGGAUCCCGACCCAUUUAGGAUGAAUUCGAGAUAAAAUUUUAUCUCAAUUUACUAUUUGGUCAAUAUUUGGGAUAUCUGAAAAUUUUUAUCAGGAUCCUAAAUGCUCCAAAAUUUGAGUUUUUAAAAAUGUAUGAUUAUUCAAUUUACUGAAUUACAUAUAUAUAACAUGCCGGUUAUGAUGUAUGACAAGUUAUUUUAAUUAAUAAUAUGUAUAUGACAUGUAUGUCAUGAGAGUAUAACAUGUCCUUUCUUCUUUUCUCCUUUCCUUUGUUAUUUUUAAGGGAAAAUAACAAUCACGUCUUCGUAGUUUAGCGAAAUAGUUACAGAGACUUCCUUGUUUUGAAAAAUGAUGGGAAAUUUACAAGAAUAACCUUAAAACUUUUGUAAUUUUUGAAUUUAACCCACCUAAUUUUUUUCUAUCAUAACUAGCCAAAUAUCUUAUUUUUGGACUAAAUUACCCUCACCACUUUCAUCAAAUUUACAAAUGCAUGCCACUCGAUAAAAUCCAACACAACUAUAAUGCUCUCAACCCUAAACAACUUAACAAACCUUCAUCACUCUCAAUAAAUCAACAAAUUCCAUCAAACAAACAUUGCAUAAUUGAAGAUGUAAUCAUCAAUUGGAGAGCUUCUUAAAAUUAGUUUAUACUCUUACACAAUUUAAACCUUUAAUCUAUUGAUUUUAUCAACUAAGUUCAAAAUUAAAGUGGAUUUUGUUGCAAAUGUUGUUAUUUUUCAUUCAUAAAAUAAUGUGAUUUGUUAAAGUACUUAGUUUGAGUUGAGAAAUGAAGAAAAAUCAUUGAAAACACAAAAAAUGGGGCAAAAAAUCAAGUUCAGAACAAGUGAGACAUGUAGUGGAACAAGUGCCUGUCUCACAUAAACACACUGCGUUUAUGUGCGACAGGCACCUAUCCCACUGCAUGUCGCACAUAAAUCCACUGGGUUUAUGGAGUAUAUGAUUUGUCUCGUCGUAAGCUUCGAAACGGUAUAUUAUACGUCUAAAACAAACACAUGUAUCCCAAAUUAUGGCUUUCAAAAAAUAUCUGAAAUUUAGUAAGACAUGCAUUUGUCCCACUGCCUGUCUCACCAAAUUUAGUGCGACAAGUAUUGGGACAAGUGUCUGUCACACAUAAACCCACUGGUUUUAUGGAGUAUAUGAUUUUGGAUUUGAUUUGUCUCGUUGUAAGCUUCGAAACGGUAUAUUAUAAACGGACACAUGUAGCCCAAGUUAUGACUUUUGGAAAAUAUCUAAAAUUUAGUGAGAUAGGCACCUGUCCCACUGCCUGUCUCACUAAAUUUGGUUAGACAGGCAGUGGGAUAUGUGUCUGUCUCACUUGUUCUGGGCUUCAUUUUUUGCCCGAUUUUUCUGUGUUUUCAAUGAUUUUUCUUCAUUUCUCAACUCAAACUAAGUAUUUUAACAAAUCACAUUAUUUUAUGAAUAAAAAAUAACAACAUUUGCAACAAAACCCACUUUAAUUUCGAACUUAGUUGAUAAAAUCAAUAGAUUAAAGGUUUAUAUUGUGUAAGAGCAUAAACUAACUUUAAGAAGCUCUCCAAUUGAUGAUUAUAUCUUCAAUUAUGCAAUGUUUGUUUGAUGAAAUUUGUUGAUUUAUUGAGAGUGAUGAAGUUUGUUGAGAGUGAUGAAGGUUUGUUAAGUUGUUUAGGGUUGAGAGCAUUAUAGUUGUGUUGGAUUUUAUCGAGUGGCAUGCAUUUGUAAAUUUGAUGAAAGUGGUGAGGGUAAUUUAGUCUAAAAAUAAGAUGUUUGGCUAGUUAUGAUAGAAAAAAUUAGGUGGGUUAAAUUCAAAAAUUGCAAAAAAUUUAAGGUUAUUCUUGUAAAUUUCCCAAAAAUGAUUUGCAAUAUAAUUGAAUUACUACAGUCUUAAAGGGCAUGAUUGACUAUUUUUAAGAAUAAAUAAAUCUCUAUUACUAUUUCACUAAAUUAUAGGGGUUAUCACUGUCAUUUUCGCCUGUCUUAAUAACCUCAGCUUGAGUAAUAAUAACCUUAGUUUUUCGAGAAUAAUUACAGAAAUGUCAAUGCGUUUUUGUAUUUUAAUGGAAUUGUGAAAAUGUUGCCAGCUAUCUUGGCCUGUAGAAAAACUGGCUUCCAUGUGAUACAAACGUGUUCUGAUGUAAAAAUAUUAAUUGAAUAUUUCUGAUAUUUGCUAAAUUUAUAGGCUAUAUUGCCCACUCAUUUCAUCAUACACAAUACAGGGACACCAUUUUGAACAGUAAUUAAUGUCAUCAUGUGACCAAAAUUUCAUAGAAUCUUCCUAUCUACUUCCGGCUCACUUAAUUAUAAUUUUCCAUUUUCGUGCCUUCGACCGACAAAAAUGCAACAUGGGUUUGCCCUAUAAUAUGUUCUUAGAAGGAAAAAAAAAAGAAAAGUUUUAAUGGUUAUAGGUUAAAAAAUAAUUUUGCACAAGUGGGUUGACUUGUCUUCAUUAAUUUACGAAGGUGCAUGCUUAAAAGCUCUGUAAUGGUAACAGAUUAUGCAGUUAAUGUGCAUGAUUUUUGCUUAAAUUAAUUUAGUUAACGGAGAGUUAGUUAAUAAAUCAAGAUUGAAUUAAAGUCAGAAACUGUUGCCGAAUGCCCAUAAUUUCCUUGAAAGUUCCUGCAAUGAAUAGACAAAUUGCGCGUCGGUGGUCUAAAUCCUUUCAUCAUCAACUUUUAUAAUGCAAUCGGUGAGCUGGAUUUGGAGCUUUGUCCAAUUUUUGUCAGUUUACAGCACUAGUUGGCCCUAUUUUUGAAAGUUUCCUUCGGCAAUGGAUAGGCACAAACUAUUUUUUGUUUUUUAGUGGUAAUAGAAUUAUAAAAUAAAGGUGUUCAUCACUUAUAACUCUUAAUAACUAAUUAUCAGGAUUAUAUAUAGGUGAUAAUUUCAUGUCAUCUAUCACAUUUGUAGGCAUAUAAAUUUUACAUUCCAACUUUACAAACCAAAUCAGAAGUCUUACUAAACCUCUUAAUUUAUUUAUGUAGUGUUGCAGUGUUUAUAAAUUGAGUCACUUUCAUAUACCUCUUAAAUUAGCUCUAUAGUGUUUCAGUUUGGUCUAACUCUAUGAUAUUUAGACCAAAAACUAAUUACUAGACUAUAUGAGAUAAUACCACAUCAUCUAUCACAUUCAUGGAGAUAUAAAUUUUAUAUUCCAACUUUAAAAAUUGAUUAUUGCAAUUAGACAUCUUCUUGAACUUCUUAAUUUAAUUAUGCGAUACUACAGUCUGGAUAAUGAAGAUUCUGAUUAUGAACUGAAUCUACUUUUAAGUAUUUCUUAAAAUAACUCUAUAAUGUCUCAAUUUAGGCCAGCUCUAUCGUAGACCCAAAAUAAAUUGAAUUUACUUCUAAAUAUUUAAAAAAAAAUCAACCUAAGCAAAUCAAAUCCUUAACUUAAAACAUAAGGCAAGGUGUCCACCACUCAAGUGGUUUGCUUUAAAGGGCAUAGUUAUUAGAAGUUUUUAGUUUAAUAAUCUUAGUCUUCUUUUUUUUAAGAGUUAAUACAUUUGUUAAAAUUAAAGGGCAAAUUUAUUAGAGGUUUUCAAUUUAAUAAUCUUACUUUUUUUCUAGAGUUAAUACACUUGUUAAAACUAAUGAGAAUCAGGAAUUACAUUUUGUGAAGUCAGAUGAAUUGAUUUCAACUAAAGUGUGUGAACAUAGAGAAAUGACAGAAUAUCCACUCCAACUUGGCCUCAUUCCAUAUAAGAGUGAAUAAAAAUUGAACUAAUAGUAAAGUUGUCACAAUUUUUGAAUAAUUGACAAAAUUUACCUAAAAAUUUUUCUUGUUAGAGUUGAGAUGGAGUUUUUUUUUGUGGGAGUGCAUAUGAUU